UGGGGAAUCUUGCACAAUGGGCGAAAGCCUGAUGCAGCGACGCCGCGUGCGAGAUGAAGGCCUUCGGGUUGUAAACCGCUUUCAGCAGGGACGAGGCCGCAAGGUGACGGUACCUGCAGAAGAAGCCCCGGCUAACUACGUGCCAGCAGCCGCGGUAAUACGUAGGGGGCAAGCGUUAUCCGGAUUCAUUGGGCGUAAAGCGCGCGUAGGCGGUCUGUUAGGUCAGGAGUCAAAUCUGGGGGCUCAACCCCUAUCCGCUCCUGAUACCGGCAGGCUUGAGUCUGGUAUGGGAAGGUGGAAUUCCAAGUGUAGCGGUGAAAUGCGCAGAUAUUUGGAAGAACACCAGUGGCGAAGGCGGCCUUCUGGGCCAUGACUGACGCUGAGGCGCGAAAGCUAGGGGAGCGAACAGG
rnacentral:rRNA from 1 species